rnacentral:rRNA from 1 species
GACGAACGCUGGCGGCGUGCUUAACACAUGCAAGUCGAACGGAAAGGCCCUGCUUUUGUGGGGUGCUCGAGUGGCGAACGGGUGAGUAACACGUGAGUAACCUGCCCUUGACUUUGGGAUAACUUCAGGAAACUGGGGCUAAUACCGGAUAGGAGCUCCUGCUGCAUGGUGGGGGUUGGAAAGUUUCGGCGGUUGGGGAUGGACUCGCGGGUUAUCAGCUUGUGGGUUGGGUAGUGGCUUACCAAGGCUUUGACGGGUAGCCGGCCUGAGAGGGUGACCGGCCACAUUGGGACUGAGGUACGGCCCAGCCUCCUCCGGGAGGCAGCAGUGGGGAAUAUUGCACAAUGGGCGGAAGCCUGAUGCAGCACCGCCGCGUGCGGGAUGACGGCCUUCGGGUUGUAAACCGCUUUCGCCUGUGACGAAGCGUGAGUGACGGUAAUGGGUAAAGAAGCACCGGCUAACUACGUG